GUUUGGCAAGAGGGUGAUUCAAUCAGAUGUGUGAAAAGAGAAAUCUAUUUUUGAACUCAAUUGUUUGAGGCAUAACAUGUCUGACUUGCCUAGC